AUUCAUGUUUGUUGGUGUUUCUCAAGUUGAUGAUUAAAAAAAGAAAAAACUAAGACAAACAACUUUUUUGUUGUGCUGCUUAUGUGUAGCAAUGUGUUUAACUCAUAAGAGAGUAGAAUCCUGAGGCUUUAGGUUGAUUCAGAAAAGAGAUGUAACUAUUUACCAGAACAGAAUUGCAUGUUGAAAUUGCAGUUAAUCAAAGUAACAUCAGAUGGCAGUAGCAGCUCAGAGAAGAAUCAGUUUAGCACGUCAGCAGAGAAGCUAAUAACAGUCCUGAAGAUAACAUCAACAUUAAGCAGCCUUUUUAUUUAUUCAUUAUUUAAUUUGUGAAGCAUUCUUUAUUUUUUUGAAUCUGGGAACAGGAGAUGGACUAAUGUUACAAAAUAAGACAUACACUUUUUCAGACAUGGGCAAUAUAUUAAUUUGUUUGCUUGGCUAUAGCUAUUUGUCAUAAGGAAGGGCUUCCCCUUAGUGGGGAUGGAAACUGAAUAAUUGUCAUAAUUGUAAUAGAUAUAUUUCAGGGGGUAUAUAUUGAUGGUAUAUGACAAACUAAUGGAUCAAGCUUUGUCUACCCUCCUCUCUAUUCCUCCCUCUCUUCAGAAGCCUUUCAGCUUCCCCUCCUUUCUUUUCUUCAGUUUCACUCAGUGUGAACUAGGAGAUUUCAAUGAAAUCAUUUUUAAUCUUCUUUUCCCAGCAAGGGGUUUAUUUGGGGAAGACAGGACAAGGAUGGAGGAUAAGGUAAGAGGAAUAGGGUUUCUCUAUUCUCUAAAACGAGGAGGAUAAGGUAAGAGGAAUAGGGUUUCUCUAUUCUCUAAAAUGAAGGUUAGGAGGAUAUUGGGAAAAAUAGCAAUCCAGUCACUCUUGUGAAACAGAGUCAGUCAGAGAGAUAUGAGGACAACUAUUUUUCUUCUUCUUCUUCCAAUCAGCCAAGUCAGUCUCAGAGGUACAAUUAGCUUCUCCACCUCUGUCAGAAGCCAAAAGCCAAAAGCCCAAAGCCUAGUUCAGCCAUUGGCUUGACUCCAACUCUCUCCAGUCACAUUCCAAAUGAAAUCUUCAUUUUGACUGACAGAUGAUGUCCUUUGCAUGCAUGCCUCUUCGACAAUACCUCCCUUUUUUGUCUUAAUUGCAUUUUUUAGUGAUACUUACCUUUUGGAUAUUUCUAGCUAUCUAUUCUUAAUUCUGUACUAUCUUAAAUAUUCCUUUACCCUCCCCAAAUAACAAAUCCUAAACUUCUCUUAGCUAUUCUUGUCUAUCUAGUUCUAUGCUAAGUUUGGGUAUAGGAAAAUGAUUUAGGUAAUAAGGAUUGUACAUGAAAUGUUUUGACAUAACAAAUCAUGGGACAAUUUUAAACAAUUCCAACAAUUUCUAUAACAUUUUGAAUUUUCAACUGUCUUAUCUUCUAAUGUAUUCAGUAUUCACCUAAGUAAAAUUUUCUAUCACAAACAAUUGCUAACCUAAAAUCAUAAAGAAACAUUACUUCUAUAUUUAAGUAGUUAUGUCUGUCCUUGCUUCCCUAAGACUUUGAACAAAUUCUCUAAUCUGUCCCUAUAGUUUAAUCAUUAGAACAUUAGGAAAUGUUUCUAAUAGUUUGUUAGUACAUUAGUAUCUACAUGUGUACAUAAGUUGUACCUAUACAGAUUUACAUAUGUACAUCCAUAUACAUCGUUCUAGAUUUCUGUGCAAACUCAUGCAGAUAAGAAAUAUCUUUGUCUGUUUGAAUUUUCCACAGAAAUUUAUAUCAUUGUGACUUUUGUGUUGCAGCUAUGCUGUACUUUGUAUACUUACCCAUUCCAUGAGAUAUCUUCCUUUUCUGUGUAGGAUGUAUAUGCAUAUAUGUGAUGUUAACAUGUAUGAUGCAUUCUUACAUAUUCUCAUGAUCACAAGUCCAAACUUUCAAAGCCCUUCUAUGUCCUUUUAUGUUGAUUGUAUAAACUCCAUGUCUUCAUUAUCAGGUCCACUGUCUUGUCAUCUGGUCAGCAUGCCAGUCUUGUCCAGUUUCACUCUUGAUUGUAGUCCUGUGUUCUUCAAUUCAGGAACAAACUGGAACAAUCAGGAACAUGCAUGUGUGUAAGGUUUUUACAUGUGCAUAUUUGUAAGAUUGAAAUUUUCGUUUUGUAUGGAAGUAUGCUGAGUCCUUCAUGAAUGCUUGUCAGAAUUCACCAGUUCUUCAUGCAUGGAAGUAAGCUUUACAUGUGUUCAUCUCCAUGCAUGUGUGGAAGUAAACUCUACAUGCAUUCAUCUUCAUGCAUGGAAGUAAGCUUUAUUCAUGUUCAUCUUCUUGGGUUUGUGUAAGCGUAAUAGUAUUGUGCAUAAGUUUUUAGGAUUUUAUUAUGAAUAUUGAUUUGAAGUUUGCUAAUCUUUUUGAUGUUUAACUUUUUUCACAAGGAGGUUUAUUGUAGGUUUACUUUAACUGUGUCUUGGAGAUUGAAUUUGGAUUUAAUGUAUUUUGUUUGGUCAUGUAGUUAUUUAUCCAUUUGAAAUAACAUUGUUUCUUUUUCUUCUGUUACUAUAACUGGAAGAUAGUUUGUAUAAAAUAUGUAGAGGCUUUUCUUUGGCUGCUAAUCUUGUAAAUGCAUAUAUUUUAUCUGUUUUACUGGCUCUUUCAGUGCUUUCCUGUUAUCAUUUUAACCUGUGCAAUGCUCUCUUGUCUGUAAUUUCUGUUGAUACUGUAGUCUUAUGUGCUUUCCUUUGAUUUCCAUACAUAGGCUUUCUUUCUUAGGAACUGUUAAUGAAUGUUGAUUAUUUUCCUAAGGCUACUCAAGUUGCUUCUUAUGACUAAGGAUUUUUUUUCAUCAGAUGUCAUUUGUAUGUAUCUUUAUUAAUGACAUGACCACAUUGUUGUGUCUAGUGAGGUAUCUGAAAGUAUGAGGUAAUAUCUUCAUGGUAUACCCUCUCUCUCUUCCUUCUCUCAUUAGAGAUUGUUUAGGGUGAAGGCUGAGAGAUUUAGAUAACCUGUUUCAGUUCUCAACUAUAGCUUGAUGUUAAAAUCUUUGAUAACAAAUUCAUCCAAUGUGAAUCUAUGCUUCCCUCUCAUUCCAGGUGUUUGUGUCUGUCAUAGUUAUGAAGUUGGAGUUUUCUACUACAAGCUUAGGAGUGUCCUUCUUGUUGAAUUAUUUGUUCUUUCUCUGGAAUAUCUUCUACCUAAGACUAGUCUUCAUUCUCAUAAGGUCUUGUAUAGUAUGUUACCCUAUAGAACUCCAACUAAUCUCGGUUUCACUCUUACAGCAAGAAUGGUAUAUUUGACAUGUUUUUGAAGUUAGAGAAUAGAUGUGAAAUUGAAUAUCUAUCUAUCUUGCCUCCUCCAGUUCAUUAAUAUGCUCCUUUAUAUCCUCCUUCCCAUUCAAGAUCUGUAUCUGUACAAGUCAUGUAAUUCAACUUCUAUAUAAAGUCAUCUUCUUUAUCAACCCCUAAUCUUGCAUAAAGUUCUUCUAAUGGCAUACAACUUGUGCUGUGCCCAAAGAAUAUCUCAUCAUCAUAAUCUUGGUGAGAUUUUGAUUGUACUGGUUUCAGGUAUUCAAUUUUCUUGCUUGUGUUCACGCAUCCCCUUCUUCAUCUACCUCUCCAUAAAGCUUAUAAAAUUGAUAAGGCAUUUGUUCUAAAUCAUCUUGAUCCAUUUUUAUUACACCCUCUGGUAUUCCUUCUGACUCUGUAUCUGAAUCUGACUCACUGAAUCCAAGCAUUAUGUUAUUCAUUGGAUUUUGUUCAGUGCCAUGUAAACUUGUGUCAGACUUUGUUAACUCUGGCUUUGUGUGUUUAUCUAAGCCUAAGUUACCAGCUUUUACAUUUCCCAAAUCAAUUUCUUGUUGUUUCUCAUUACUAAGCUUUAGAUUUUCAUUUUGAAUUGGUAAACUUGAUGGUAUGGGAUUAGUUCCUUCUUACAGAUAUUCUAUGCUGUUACUAACAUUUAUAAAUCCUAUUCUAUCACUAGUCUGAGGUUUAUGUUCAUCUUCCCUCUCUUUUGACUGUGUAGAGAUAGGAAUCUGACCCUCUAUGUUGUUAUGUUCUGGGAAUAAUUUUAGUACAUCUGCAAGUUCCCCUGCAUCAGUAGGAUGUGUGCCUUCAUUCUUUCCCACAGUAGUACAUACAUCUGUUUCUGACUGUGUAGCUAAGGUGUUUAUUGACACUGAGUCACUGUUCAUUUCUUUGUUACCCUCUGUGAGCUGUAUGUGUGAAUCAGUUAACUCUUUUUGAUUUAACUCAUUUCCUAUGAAGUCUUCAUUUGAGGCUGGUUGUACUACAUUGAAACACGAAUUUAAAUCAUAGCUGUUGCUUUUCUCACAUAAGUUUAUUUGGCCAGAUCCCCCUCUGCCACUUAGAAUGUUGGUUUCAAGUCUGCCAUUUAAAUCCUUGGUUGUUCUUUCAGUUACUAAGACUUCCAUUCCAUUCCUCUUUUCAAAUUUAACUGUCAUGUCACUUUGAAUAGGAUUAUUAUUUUCAAAUGUAAUGUCAGCUUCAUUUUCAGUAAAUUUUGUCUUAUCUAAAUUACUCAUUGCUGGAUGGAAGGUUUCAGCUCUAGGAUUCAAAUUAGAUGUUUUUUCUAAGGGUAUCUUUGCCAUAAAGCUAUUGGAAAAAUUAACUAAGUUUGGUGGGCUUUCAUGCAAUUCUGUGAAUGAUUUCAAAGUAUUUUCAUCUCUAGUAAUAGUAACCUGUAGGGAAUUGAAAUUUUGUUUCUCUGAAUCUUUUACUAACUCUUCCCUGAGUUCUUGUGACUUUUUCAAAAUCCAAUCCCUGAGCCCACUCUACACUGAAAAAAGUUCUCUAAUAAUGAUUUGACUUCAUUUGCACUUUUUUUCCUGUGUGGUUCCUAUAUAGCCUUCCUCUAAGACUCUUACCUCAGUUGCUAUUUGAGGACAUUAUUUCUUUUAUUUCUACAUCUAGCUGUUCUGCCUUUCUCUUGAUUCAUUGCAUGUGCUAUCACUCACAGAUUCAUUUCCUUGCACAAAUUUUUCACCAUUUCUUAUCUUUUUUCUACUAUUUUUAACAGCAGCCUCUUUUUCACUAUCACUUCUAUCUCCAUGUAUGUACAUUAUAGGCCUGGCUUAAUAACUCUUUCCUAACCAUGUCUGAAUAUUUAGGUUUGGUUCCCAAUUUAAUGGCCUGUUGCAUCUCUUCUAAAUCAGAUGCUUGCUUUGUGGAUUUCAGUUUAUAAUGAGAACAGCAAGUGGAAUUCUGUUUUAUGUAUCUAUUUUGUGUAGUUUUAUUGUCAUUGACUUCAUAUUUCUUCUUCAAAAAACAAUAUUUUAUCAGGUGUCCUCUCUUGUGGCAGAAGAAGCAUUGCCUAGUAUAUUUCUGCACUGGUUUAGGUUUAUAACUAGGUUUUCUGUAAGUCCUAAUAGUGUUGAGUUUCUUGAUUUCCUCUAUUUCCUUUUCUCUUAGAUUUUUCCCCGUUAGCUCUAAUUUAUCUUUUUAAGUAUUGCAUUUGUUUGUGUUGUUCUGAAUGAUGAUCAAGGAGGUAAAUAGCAGUUUCACGUAGUUCAAUCAGACUGACAGUAUCAUAUUUAGGGAAAUAGUGUUUUAAAAAAAGUUCUUUAAAUGAGGUGUGCAACCCUUUAAAAGCUGUCUUCGUAUGUGACUAGAAGACUCCUCACUAUCAGCCUCUAGACCCAUAAUUCAUUCUGCCAUUUCAGAGAGACAAUCAAUGAAUGUGGCUGGAUGUCCCCCUUUGUUUUGCAUGAGUUUAUCAAACCUUGCCCCCAUGCAUUAGGCUUCGCGCAACUAAUAGCUUGGAGCAAGUAUUCCCUGCAUUUCCUUAAGUAGGUCAUGCUACUGGAGUUUGUAAAAUCUAGAUCUUCCCUUUGCUCCUCAGCAGGCCAACUAGUUAGGUUGUCCUAGUCUUUUCAAGGAAUUGCCUUUGCUCAUGGGGACUGAACAGUUCAGACAGGAGAAACUCUACAUCUUCAAAGUCUGGGUCAAAGAUCCUGAAAGCACAUUUCAGUUCUUUCUGCACCUUAAAAGGUUGCCCUAUGAAUUUUGGAAAUUGUCUUUUUAGGGAUUCAAGUUCCUGAGAUAUAAACUGCCUGUACACCUUAGAUUGUAAUACACUAGUUGUAUUUGAAAGCUUGGUAUUUGAAAGCUUGGUGACCUCCUUUAGUGGACAAAUUUUUUCUGGUUCACUAUCAGACUUAGUGUCCUUGUCACUUUCAUUUCCCUUAGCAUUGACCUUAGAUUUCUUUGCCUUUCUUUUUCUUUGGGUGCACUAUCUGCCUGGCCAUUGUUCUUGUCCUUAACCUGAUCUAACCCUUUUUCCUUGAUCAAUUCCUCAAACAAGUUCUUAAUAAUGUUUUCCAGGUUAUUAUCUACCACCAGUAUCUGUUCUGCAUUUUGGGCAAUCACAAAUCUAAAGAUAUUUUUCAUAUAGGUCAUAGUCUGUAAAGCUGCCAUAAUGAUGAUGUACACUUGAGUCAAAAUCUGCCAGAGUAUAGUAUCAGUCUGAAAUGGCAACUGCAGUAUAAACAUAGUGGUGUUGCCAAUAUAAUCCAGAGAAUCAAAAAUCAUGUGGGUCAUUCUGUUAUAGAGUAUAUUGUAGACCCCAAAUCCAGUAAUGGUUGCAAGUACAACAGCUCCACAGAGUAUUUGCUUAAACACCUUUUUCCCCCCAAGGGAUUGUGUAGUUCAGUCAUUUUAGGGGUGCCAAUCUGUAAUAGAUAGAUACUUGAGGGUGUACAUUGAUGGUAUAUUAGAUAACUAAUGGAUUUGCCUACCCUCCUCCCUAUACCUCCCGGUUUCCUCCCUCUCUUCAGAAGCCUUUCAGCUUCACCUUCCCCUUUUCUUCUCUGAGCUAUGAGAUUUCAGAGGAAAUACUCUUUUCUCAAGUAAGGGUUUAUUUGGGGAAGACAGGACAAUGAUGGAGGAUAAGGUAAGAGGGAUAGGGUUUCCCUAUUCUCUAAAAUGAGGGUUAGGAGUGUUACAAGGGAAUCACUUUAAAAGACUGAUAUAUAUUAAUUUAAGGUCGCCAAGGAAUCAGCUAUGUAAUUCCUAAAUGAAAAACUCAAGUCAGCCGUCAGCCUUUUUUGGAGUUUAAUUACAAUAGGAGUAAGAAAGGAAUUAGAGAUAGAGAGAGAGAAAAGGGGAGAGAAGGGAAUAGGGCUUAAAUACCCCUUCUGUUUAGGCUGGGCCAAAAGGCCCAAGCCCUUAGAUAGCUGGGGCAAAGAAAAGAGAUCAGUCCCUAUUACUCACGUGUCCAAAAAUGGAGAAAGAGUCUCAGAGGCCCCCACCUUCAGCUUCCUUCAGAGCAAGCCUUCUCAGAGCCCAGGAACCACACCGACCAAAACCUCAACAACCUCCUCCUGCAGUCUUCAGACCCCCUAUCUUUCAGGAAACCAUCCAAGUUCCUCCUCCCAGUUCUCCCAUCUACCAAUCAUUGUUCAUCAAUUUCCCUGUGCCAAUGGAGGCUCUAGCUUAACCCAGGACCGCCCAGAGGUUUCUGGCUUUUGCACAUGUCUGUUGAAGGUCAUAUUUUCAAAUGAUUAAAUCUUUUCUCCUUUGCUACAGCCCUUUCUAAAUCCUGUUAACUUGAGUAUGGUAGAGAUUGGAAUAAUUAAAUUUUGAUCUAGGCUGCAGCCCUUACUCAAUCCUAUUAGGACUGAAUAGGGUGGAGAUUUAUUCCAAGUAUCUCCAUUGUAUCAAUUCUAAAAUCAAUCAAGACUCAAAGAAAUUCCUGUUCUAUGCUUAAGCAUAGGUCAAAGUCCUUUCCAUUGUUCAGCAAAGGGUUUCUGUCCUAAAGUAAUCUUAAGAAGGGAAGAGAAGGAACCUCCCAUGCCAAUGGGGUUCCCAUUCCAAUAGACUAUCAGUAAGAAAUUUUCCAAGUAUGAAAUAUCCCAAUGGUGAAAUUUCCAACAUUUAUAAGUCUAAGGAAAUUUUGAGGUUUACAGGAGGAUAUUGGGAGAAAUAUCAAUCCAGUUACUCUUAUGAAACAGAGUCAAUCAGAGAGGUAUGAGGACAACUGUCUUUCUUCUUCUUUCAAAUCAGCCAGCCAGCAAAAGCCAAAUGCCCUUCAAGUUCAGUCACCACCAUCAGCCAGAAGCCAAAGGCCAAAAGCUAAAAAGCCUCCUUCAGCCCAGUCCAGCUGUUGACUUGGCUUCAACUCUCUCCCAGUCACAUUCCACAUGGAAUCUUCAUUUUGACUGACAGAUAAUGUCCUUUGCAUGCAUGCCUCUUCAACAUAAUGAUGCAAUAAAAAAUAUUAUAGGUGAAACCUUUUGUGUUUUUAGAUACACAAAAAAGAGUAGAAGUUCAAAAGGGGCCAAAGACAAGCUUUUCUUACUAUCAUGUUAAACUUAAUACACACAGAAUCAAUAUAUAUUUAUUAAGCACCAUUAUCAUAUGUGCCAGGCAUAAACAUAUAUAAAAUAUACAUAGUACUUUAAUUACAGCUCUUUUCCAUUUUUAAUAUUGAAAUGUUCAUGUCAUAAGAAAAAAGCAUUCCAUUUUACAGAUAAGCUCUGAGAGAUUGCAGGAUUUAUCUAUUAUUAUAUAGAGAAUAAGUAUCAGAGCUAAAAGGCAAACUCAGUUUUUUUGACUUUGAGUUCAGUUCAUUUUCUAAUAUAUGUAGGGCUGUCUUUAUAAUCUCUAAACUAUUACCAACAAUUCAAUAUGUAAACAGAUUAAAGUAACUUUAUUUUAACAUUUGCUAACAGAAAGGUUUUGAUUUUUCUUAAAAGAGACCAAGUCAAUGUUUAAAAGGCUAACUGUCUUGAUCAUACAUUCAUAAAAAAUGAUGCAGUUCAAGGACUGUAUUCAAUGGGGAAAAUGUCACUUUAAACUUAAAUUAUACUCAACAAUUAUAUUUUAUUAAUAGAAUAUUUUUUAAACAAUUCUUAUGCUUUGUGAUUCUUAAAUACACAUUAAAAAAUACCAAAAUUCAUACAUGCAGAAAAUUGUACAAGGCCCAAAGUAUAUAAAUGGUUUUAGCAGUGGUGAUGUAAUUGAAACUGAAGUCCACAGUAUCCACAAGUCCCAGUUUUAGUCUUUUUGUCCAGGUUUAUAUACACUUUUGUAUGACCUAGAGCUCCUCCUCCACCAUCACAUGAUAUCACUCGACUUUCCACUUUACUCACUUUGGCUGCUCUGCUGUCAAAUCUGUAACAUAUCAGGCAUGGAAGUAUGGUUGAUGUAUUAAAUACUUGAUCAGAGCAGUUAAUGAUCAAUGUAUAGGCAGUUCUAAGGGCAACAGAAUUCCUGGGCCUAAGCCACAAAGGCUUAGCCCUCACCUUGUCAAACCUCAUUCCUCUGAAAAGCGCAUGUCAGGUGAAUCCCCACCUACUCUGAUCUUGUCAUUGUCUAUACAUCAAUGUGAAUCAACUAUGCUUUAUUAUGUAUUCAUUGAUCAUCACAAUCCACAAUAAAGCCUGGGGUGAGACACAUGUGGUUCUUCCUCUUGUUUCCUGUUGUCUCUCUUUAUCUUUCCCAGUGCCACUCUUGGCCAAGUGCUUUCGAUUUUGGAAUUCUUACUUCCACGUGUUCUGUUAUUUCUCACAUUUUCCUUUACUUAUUUUUCUAAGGAAAAUGUCAUCAGGGACCAGCUCUGCUCCCUACUUAAAUUAACUUAUCUGUGUCUCUUUAUUUAUCACCCAUUUUCUCAGACUCCUUGCUCCUUCUUGAGCCCAAAUCCACUAAGGAAAUCUUAUAUAUAAUAGCCACUGGAAGACUGUUAUAUCUGGCACCCUGGCGUGGGAAAAUAUUUUUUUUACAGGUGUGAUUAUUUUGAGUGUGCACACAGCUUGAGAAGAAGUAGUGGACAAAGUUUGGAGCCAGAGCGAUGGAACUAUCAAGUGGCCUCUGAGAUACCAGAAAUCCAUGGAGGAAAAAUGAAGGCAUCCAGCAUAAAGAAAGAGGACAAUGAAGAUGUGUCUGGCACCAUCCACAGCAUGACACAGAGGCUGGACACCAGAAAAAACAGCAGAGGAACUGGAAAGGCAAAACCACUGCCUUAUAGGCAGGUCUAUUGCACUAUCCACACAAAUGUACUUUUACUGAGAGAGAAUUUACCUACAGAAGAAUAUCAUUAAUUUGCUUACAGAUAUUCUAUUUGAACAGUAUAUGGGUAUUUGUUGUAAGAUCAAGGUUUAUCAUGUAGCUGAAAAUUUCAAAUGGUAUUUGUACAAUAUUCAACUUGUAAUUAUUUUAUUGGAAUUGUUCCAUUUUACCCAAAUUUUAUCAAAUAACAAAUUGUGCAAUUGGGAAUGUUAUGACAGUACAUUGGAUACUGUUCAAUUGAAGCAGAAAUUGUUUCUAUUAUCUAAAAUGUAUGCAUGAUAAUUGUCUUAUUUGGUUCAUUUUAUAUUUGCAAGAAGAAAAUGUGUCUUUAUUAGGAUCAGACUUAUUUAAAAGUCAAUUUUGUUGGAAAUGGCAUUUAAGCUUAAAAAAAAAAAGGGUGGUAAUGGUAUUCCUAACCAUCUAUCUCUCCUACAUCCCAGAAGGGAUAUAGGCUAAUCCUAUGUGAUUACAUUUUGAAUGUAAUGAUAAAGAUUGCAUUGUAUGAUAUACCUGGAUUGGGUUGUAUAUUACCAGGAAAUUAAGACUAUAAGGGACCCAAUAGGAUGAUAACUUCGGGCCGAGGAUUUAUUUGUAUUUUUACAGAUAGUGAAAACAUCUGGUCACACACAAAGCACAUCAUACCAUGGGACAUGAGACCAAGAAGAGAAGCAGAAGAACAACAUUGUUGACAUCAAUUAGCUGUACACCAGCCACGCUCCAGACACACUGGAACAAACCAUCACUUGGUGACUACAAACACACCAAAGACUGAGAUUACACUACUUUCAAUGACAUUUACUAUUAUUCUACUGAUGGACACUUGUCAUGCUGACAUCUAAUGGUCUAUCAUACCUAAACCAAUAUCAAGCACUUGUAUGGGCUAAACCUCACUGGUGUAUGUUAAUGACACAAGAUAGACCCCACACUCCAAAGACUUUACCAUGGGAUCAGAAGGGAAUAGCUAUAAUUGUUUAGACAUCACUGUAUUCCUUUCGUUUUGUAUGUCUAUGCUAUAUACUGUCAAAAGGAAUUUAUUUGGUAUGCAUUGUAAAAUUCCUACUUGUAUGGUAAGAAAUGCUACUAUUAACAAUGGUAUGACAUUGGUAUGACUCUCAAAAGAGAAGGAGAUAGAAGUUUUCAGCCACAGCAUAGACCUAGUAACCCUGACAACAAAAAUUAGGUUUAAAGCAGGAGAUGCUGCACAGGGAUUUAUAAUGGACAGAUGGUCCUGACCUAACUCUUAUAAAAGGAUGAGAUGUCAGGCAAAAUGUACUUUGAAAUUUGAAAAUGGUCAUCUACAUCUAUAUAUAGAUUAUGUUCCUGACAAUACCUAUAUAUCAUGUGCCAACCACCAUUGGUGUGGUUACAUGUUAAUACUAUUUUUGAACAUUACUCCUGAAACUCCCAUCUUUUUGGGUGAUAUCUUUAUGGGAACUCUUCCUUGCUCUCUCCCACCAGCUCCAGAGUUCAGGCAGGUCGCUGGAUUUGGGGUCUAUCAUCUUUCCCUUCUAAUACUGGAAGACAUUCUGGUAUGUGAGAAGUCUAGCCUCAGUGGUAAACUGAAUGCUCAAGGUUGGACAACCUCUGUGGAUGCACAGUUGUUGACCCUCCUAGGUGGAAUUGGCUAUUACACACCUACAUGGAACAGAGGCAAAGUAUACCCUAAGUUUCCCCUUUGGAGUAUAUAUUUAAAAAUGGGAAGAAAUUGGCACUAAUAAGCUUGUAGAAAAAGCAUAUUGGAAAUUAUACAUUUACAUUUACAAGGAAUUAAGAAGUUACAUCAAAUUCUAUAUGAGCAAGAAGCUGUAGAAAUUGCUUCUACAUGAAAAGCAACUUAAGCUUCUAUUAACCCAAACAUUGGUUUGGUAGAAUUAAUUUUUCAUACAUUGGCAAUGUUAUAUUUUUGGUUAGUGUAUUGAUUGGUUCUUUUAUACAGAAGUAGAGAUUUAAAUAAGGCUGAUAUAAUAAAUAUGCAGCCAGAAGUUGCAAUGUCACUUCAUUAUCUUCAUUCUUGUUAUUUAAACAACAAAUCAAAAUGUAAUGUUUAUGGGAAUAUUGGUACUUGUUAAGAAUUUGCACUAAUUGUUGUAUUCAUAUUUGUGUAAAAAUUUUACAAUCUCAAUCUUGGUCAACAUAGAAUAGGGAAAUAGAAAUAAUUUUGAAUGUAAAUUCUGGCAUUACACAUUGGCUCAGCUGCAACUAUGCCACAUGAAAAGUGAGCCAUGAGUCUAAAAUUUUGUAUUAAUUUUCCCUGAUCAGUUUUUCAGAUUAUUUUCCCACAUAUUUUCUUUUCAGUACCAGAAGUACAUUGAAAGCAGUAUUAGGGCUCUGAUCCUGAACUAUGAAUUAACUGCAAAACUGAAUUUUUAUUUUUGUGCAUACCCAAAAGCUUGAGACUAUAGGAACAUGACAGCAUUUGUUAAACUUCAGGUGACCAUUCUGAGAGAUUAUGUCUGAUUACAUAAAAAGGGAUUGCAACGGGUAUCUCACACUUGACCAGACAGCCUAAGCCACAGACAGAUAUGUAUUCCAUGUGAGAUGGCAUAAGGUUGGAGAUACAAGGGCGUGGUGUUUUGACACCCUCAUUCACAGAUCACCCUGGUACCAAACUUCCAACCAUAUUUCUAUGUGGCAGGCAUCUCGGCUUAUAUAUCCCUAAGACUAUGCAUAAUCAAAACAAGGGACAGACAAGAAUUCCCUCUCAUCUCGAGAUAAAGUCUUUUUCUUUAUCUAUUAAAGGUCUGACAACUUCUUAUAGUGCUAGCAGUUCAUGGGUAAGAUGAUAUAUCAAUGCACCUGUCCUAUGGACUAUGGGACUGAUAUCACAUUAAUUCAGGAUCACUAAAGAGUGAAGAUCAUUUUCUUUUUAUUCUAUAUUAUUACUUUUGGUCUUUGAUAAUAAUUUUUACACUUGAGUUUGCUAAAUGGAAAUGAAGAUCAUUCUUAUCAUUUUUACAGCAUUAUUGCUAAGUUACAUUUCAUUUUGAUAUUUGAUUGGGAAGUCAUUUUUGAUUCAUUAUCUGACUAUGCUCACUAAUAUUUCUGUUUGUUGAUUAAGUUUGUAAUUUUGUUGUAACAUGAUACCCUCUUAUUUUAUUUUUUAAAAACCAAAAAGGGGGAUAUGUAACAUAUCAGGCAUGGAAAUAUGGUUGAUGUAUUAAAUACUUGAUCAGAGCAGUUAAUGAUCAAUGUAUAGGCAGUUCUAAGGGCAACAGAAUUCCUGGGCCUAAGCCACAAAGGCUUAGCCCUCACCUUGUCAAACCUCAUUCCUCUGAAAAGCUCCUACUCUGAUCUUGUCAUUGUCUAUGCAUCAAUGUGAAUCAACUAUGCUUUAUUAUGUAUUCAUUGAUCCUCACAAUCCACAAUAAAGCCUGGGGUGAGAUGCA